rnacentral:rRNA from 1 species
GAUGAACGCUAGCGAAAUGCCUAACACAUGCAAGUCGAACGGACCUUGCGUCGUAGCAAUACGUAGUAAGGUUAGUGGCAAACGAGCGAGUAACGCGUGCUUAACCUGCCCCGAAGUUGGGUAUAACUACAGAGAUGUAGCUAAUUCCCAAUAUGCUCACGAUGGUGAAAUCCCAAUGGGAGGAAAGAUUUAUCGCUUCGGAGGGGGGUGCGUCCUAUCAGAUAGUUGGUGAGGUAACGGCUUACCAAGUCUAUGACGGGUAACCGGUCUGAGAUGAUGUCCGGUCGCGAUGGGACUGAGAUACGGCCCAUACUCC